rnacentral:rRNA from 1 species
GGAGUGAACGCUGGCGGCAGGCCUAACACAUGCAAGUCGAACGGCAGCACAGGGGAGCUUGCUCCCUGGGUGGCGAGUGGCGGACGGGUGAGGAAACGUCGGAAUCUGCCUAUUUGUGGGGGAUAACGUAGGGAAACUUACGCUAAUACCGCAUACGACCUACGGGUGAAAGCGGAGGACCUUCGGGCUUCGCGCAGAUAGAUGAGCCG